CUAAUACCGGAAUAAGAAAGCAGAUCGCAUGAUCAGACUUUUAAAAGGCGGCGUAAGCUGUCGCUAUGGGAUGGCCCCGCGGUGCAUUAGUUAGUUGGUAAGGUAAAGGCUUACCAAGGCGAUGAUGCAUAGCCGAGUUGAGAGACUGAUCGGCCACAUUGGGACUGAGACACGGCCCAAACUCCUACGGGAGGCAGCAGCA
rnacentral:rRNA from 1 species